rnacentral:rRNA from 1 species
AUUGAACGCUGGCGGCAGGCCUAACACAUGCAAGUCGAACGAGUGGCGGACGGGUGAGUAAUGUCUGGGAAACUGCCUGAUGGAGGGGGAUAACUACUGGAAACGGUAGCUAAUACCGCAUACCCUCAGAUGUGCCCAGAUGGGAUUGGCUAGUUGGGGGGGUAACGGCUCACCAAGGCGACGAUCCCUAGCUGGUCUGAGAGGAUGACCAGCCAUACUGAAACUGAGACACGGUCCAAACUCCUACGGUGGGCAGAGGUGGGGAAUUUUGCACAAUGGGCGCAAGCCUGAUGCAGCAAUGCCGCGUGUAUGAGGAAGGCCUUCGGGUUGUAAACUACUUUCAGCGGGGAGGCGUUACCCGCAGAAAAAGCACCGGCUAACUCCGUGCCAGCAGCCGCGGUAAUUC